rnacentral:rRNA from 1 species
AACGAACGCUGGCGGCAUGCCUAACACAUGCAAGUCGAACGAAGCCUUCGGGCCUAGUGGCGCACGGGUGCGUAACGCGUGGGAAUCUGCCCUUAGCUUCGGAAUAACAGCCAGAAAGGGGUGCUAAUACCGGAUGAUGUCUUCGGACCAAAGAUUUAUCGGCAUUGGAUGGGCCCGCGUAGGAUUAGCUAGUUGGUAGGGUAAAGGCCUACCAAGGCGACGAUCCUUAGCUGGUCUGAGAGGAUGAUCAGCCACACUGGGACUGAGACACGGCCCAGACUCCUACGGGAAGCAGCAGUGGGGAAUAUUGGACAAUGGGCGAAAGUCUGAUCCAGCAAUGCCGCGUGAGUGAUGAAGGCCUUAGGGUUGUAAAGCUCUUUUACCAGGGAUGAUAAUGACAGUACCUGGAGAAUAAGCGCCGGCUAACUCCGUG